GUGUCUUUUUAAGAUUUGAUGCAGUCAGUGUCUUAGAUGGCUAACACAGAAAGGUAAAGUAAGUCUCCACAGCACCCAGAGAAAAGAUGGUAAAACUCCUCUUUGAAUCUUGUCUGGAGUCACAGCU